CUUAUCGAUAAACAAUUGGAGGGCAAGUCUGGUGCCAGCAGCCGCGGUAAUUCCAGCUCCAAUAGCGUAUAUUAACGUUGUUGCAGUUAAAAAGCUCGUAGUUGAAAUGAAGGGUAGUUGUGUAAUGAAUACAUUCGUGUAUUUUGUUAUUCUACUACCCUCCUUCUAAAUUCGAUAUAUGAGUAUUAAUUUACUUGUAUAUGGUUUUAGACUUUUACUGUGAGAAAAUUAGAGUGUUCAAAGCAGGCAUUUGCUUGAAUAUAUUAGCAUGGAAUAAUCAUGUAUGAUUUUCAUGAUGUAUUUGAUUGGUUUGGUUCAUGAGAAUAAGAUUAAAAGGGACAGUUGGGGGUAUUCAUAUUCAAUAGUCAGAGGUGAAAUUCUCGGAUUUAUGGAAGAUGAACAAGUGCGAAAGAUUUCUACCAAGGAUGUUUUCAUUAAUCAAGAACGAAAGUUAGGGGAUCGAAGAGGAUUAGAUACCCUCGUAGUCUUA
rnacentral:rRNA from 1 species